rnacentral:rRNA from 1 species
GACCUCAAAUCAGGUAAGGAUACCCGCUGAACUUAAGCAUAUCAAUAAGCGGAGGAAAAGAAAAUAACAAUGAUUCCUCUAGUAACUGCGAGUGAAGAGGGAAAAGCUCAAAUUUUAAAUCUGUUAGGUUUACCUAACCGAGUUGUAAUUUGAAGAAGCGUUUUCUGCGAUUUUGGUUAGUCCAAAUCCUUUGGAAUAAGGUAUCAUGGAGGGUGAGAAUCCCGUUCGGUUAACCAAAGCGCUUUACGAUACGCUUUCAAAGAGUCAAGUCGUUUGGGAUUGCAGCUUAAAAUGGGAGGUAAAUUUCUCCUAAGGCUAAAUAUUGGCGAGAGACCGAUAGCGAACAAGUCCGUGAGGGAAAGAUGAAAAGAACUUUGAAAAGAGAGUUAAACAGUACGUGAAAUUGUUGAAAGGGAAACGAUUGAAG